rnacentral:rRNA from 1 species
UGGGGAAUAUUGGACAAUGGGCGCAAGCCUGAUCCAGCAAUGCCGCGUGUGUGAAGAAGGCCUUCGGGUUGUAAAGCACUUUUAUCAGGAGCGAAACGCUGUCGGCUAAUACCCGGCGGAACUGACGGUACCUGAGGAAUAAGCACCGGCUAACUUCGUGCCAGCAGCCGCGGUAAUACGAAGGGUGCAAGCGUUAAUCGGAAUUACUGGGCGUAAAGCGUGCGUAGGCGGUUUCUUAAGUCUGCUGUGAAAUCCCCGGGCUAACCUGGGAAUGGCAGUGGAUACUGGGAGGCUAGAGUGUGUCAGAGGGUGGUGGAAUUCCCGGUGUAGCGGUGAAAUGCGUAGAGAUCGGGAGGAACAUCAGUGGCGAAGGCGGCCACCUGGGACAACACUGACGCUGAGGCACGAAAGCGUGGGGAGCAAACAGGAUUAGAUACCCUGGUAGUCCACGCCCUAAAACGAUGCGAACUGGAUGUUGGUCUCAACUCGGAGAUCAGUGUCGAAGCUAACGCGUU